GUCACUAGGUACAGGACUUUAAAUGUUUUUUAAUGUUUGUUCCACAUUAAAAUAUGUCAAACGUUUGUCAAACGUCACGAGUUUCAUGACAGUGAGUCAGUGACAGUGACAGUCCAACUGUUCAUAUUAAAUUAUUAAAACGUUCCAAUCACAUUUUACAGGCCCAUCAUUCAGUAGUUAUUUCAUAAAUGUACAUAAAAGUCACAGAUCAAACACUUCACUGAUAGUAUGUUACCGCUGAUAGUAUGUUAACUCCCAAACGACAAAUAUAAAUAUAUCCAAUAUGAAAAGAAAUAUUUAGUGUUGUCACUUGUCAGUAUUUAUAAAGUGUUUACACUCUUCUCUUUUGAAUCUUGAUCUUCGACAAGUAUUACUGUUGAUUAUAUUCCAUAUUUGUUUUGAAAAACAUCGCAGGCUAUUUAUUUAUUUGUUGAAAAGUUUAUCCUCAAAAGCUUCUAUCGCACCUUUGCACGGCCAUGUUUAAUGAAAUCAAAGCGGCCCGCACCCCCGGUUUGAAAAGUUAAAUAUUCUGAAAUAUUCAAAAUUUUAAGCAUCACGUGACCAGCCUUUACCAGGGCCUUUGCUGCUUCGCCUCCUUCCUCAAUAGGCCCU